UGCGGGGUGGAGCAGUCUGGUAGCUCGUCGGGCUCAUAACCCGAAGGUCGUUGGUUCAAAUCCGGCCCCCGCAUCCA
rnacentral:tRNA from 9 species